UACGUAGGGGGCAAGCGUUGUCCGGAAUCAUUGGGCGUAAAGCGCGUGUAGGCGGCUCAGCAAGUCCGCUCUGAAAGCCCAGGGCUCAACCCUGGGAUGCGGGUGGAUACUGCUGAGCUCGAGUCCGGAAGAGGCGAGUGGAAUUCCUGGUGUAGCGGUGAAAUGCGCAGAUAUCAGGAGGAACACCAAUGGCGAAGGCAGCUCGCUGGGACGUGACUGACGCUGAGACGCGAAAGCGUGGGGAGCAAACAGG
rnacentral:rRNA from 1 species